rnacentral:misc_RNA from 1 species
UGAAAUGCGAUAACUAGUGUGAAUUGCAUUAUCUCGUGAACCAUCGAGUCUUUGAACGCACCUUGCACUGUUUGGAGAGUAUCUGAACAGUAUGGAUGUUUGAGAAUCAUAUAAAUAUCUAGAAAUAGGAAGUGAGGAAUCCAAAGGAAACUUUGUUCCUUGAAAUUUAUGCGCACGGUGAAAUGUGUGAUAAUAAUUACACAAAGUACCCCCUGCGAGACACCACUACUUUUUGAUCUCAAAUCAUCCAAGAUUACCCGCUGAACUUAA